GGGAGUGACAGGCUUCGACAUUGAAUGCUCCUUGAAAAGAUGCAAGCAAAGCUGAACUAACUUUUAAACUGGUUCAAACUUGAAAUGCCAACAGAAAUGUUGCACUAGCCUACGCAUAAUUUUAUCCGUAGACCAUCGCUCUAGCGACCUCUUCUAGCUGGAUUAGCGGUGUCAUAUUGAAGAGUAAGGAAUAAAGAGUGCAGAUCUAACGCUUUAUUCACGAAAAUUAAUAGAUCAGCGCUGUUUGGUGCACUAAACCAAAACAAGCUUGUAGAUUCUUUUUAAAGACUUCUUUGGACGGGGUUUCAAUACCCCCACUUCCACAA
rnacentral:tmRNA from 1 species